AGAGAGCUGAUCUUUGCCUCUUUUCUUCAUUUUUGGGCAGAAAUUUCACCUGAGUCCUGCAGCUAAACUCCUGAUGGAAGCUGCACUGCUGUGCAAAGCAGCCAGCUGGUGCCAAAUUGGCAUGAAGCCCCCGUCCCCUCCUUCUGCAGCUCUUUCUGUUGAGAUGCUCUUGCAGAGGAAUGAGCUCCAGCUCUGAGGACAAGAGAGACCGGCAGUGGUAGCUGAAGCCAUGAAGUGACUUGGCUGGAUGUCUCCACCAGUGAUGUGACUGUGCUUAGCAAGAAAGAAGCGGUGCUGGGCAGCUCUGAGAGGUUACCAGAACUGGGUAAGAAGAAUGACACAGACAGUGUUCACCAUCAUAGGUUCAAAGGAUCCAUCAAAGUUAACUUCAGAUAUUUAAUGAGAACCACCUUGACAUGCAAACGUAGCCUUCCAGACCCCUUUCCAGCAAGGCAUCAGUGUGUAUUCCCAAAUAUAUGGCUUGGGGUUAUAGAGAGCUAACAGAAAAGGAUUCUGAAUGUAAAAGAAAAUGAAAUGCUAGAAACUUUUCUGCAUGCAUUUAUUAUUCCAACUUCUGUUUUUGGUCUUCUCCUUAUGAGUCAUUGUAUUAAUCAAAUCACUGACAAUGUUUUGGCUUCAGUUUCUCUCUUAAUAGCAUAAGCAGGAUGGCCAUAAAUUAACAAGGGGGUACCUGGAACAUGCAGAAAUCUUUAUUUACAGAAGCUGGUAAUCUGCAAUUACUCAGUGCAGCAUAGAGUAUUUUUAUAGUUGGUCUCAUUAAUCUAAUUCCACGUGUCAGAGUCAUAGCAUCAUCUGGAGUACUCUACCUCAUUA
rnacentral:lncRNA from 1 species